rnacentral:rRNA from 1 species
GAUGAACGCUGGCGGCGUGCCUAAUACAUGCAAGUCGAGCGAACGGACGAGAGGCUUGCUUCUCUGAUGUUAGCGGCGGACGGGUGAGUAACACGUGGAUAACCUACCUAUAAGACUGGGAUAACUUCGGGAAACCGGAGCUAAUACCGGAUGAUAUUUUGAACCGCAUGGUUCAAAAGUGAAAGACGGUCUUGCUGUCACUUAUAGAUGGAUCCGCGCUGCAUUAGCUAGUUGGUAAGGUAACGGCUUACCAAGGCAACGAUGCAUAGCCGACCUGAGAGGGUGAUCGGCCACACUGGAACUGAGACACGGUCCAGACUCCUACGGGAGGCAGCAGUAGGGAAUCUUCCGCAAUGGGCGAAAGCCUGACGGAGCAACGCCGCGUGAGUGAUGAAGGUCUUCGGAUCGUAAAACUCUGUUAUUAGGGAAGAACAUAUGUGUAAGUAACUGUGCACAUCUUGACGGUACCUAAUCAGAAAGCCACGGCUAACUACAUG